GUUGGCCGCUUUCCCUCCCCCGUAGCUCUUCUCCCGGGCGGUAGCGCAGGCCGCAGCUAGCCGCCGCCUGAGGCUCCGCGCACCGCUGGCCGAAGGGCCGUCGAGCAGAGCUUUCCCGGUGAAAUAGGCGCGUCCGCUCCUCAUUGCAAGCCUCAGCCAACCUUCAGCCCAAAAAGCGUGACGUGGAACUGAGCGCCGUGCAGGACUGCAGAGCGCCGUGGAGAGACUCCGAAGAGCAGCAGCUCAAUGUGCAGAACACAGGCGGGAGGAAACAGGAAACCAUUCCCACAGCUGCAGCACUUGCUGUAUUCUGGUGGUAUUGCUUGGUUUCUGCAGUCCAGGUUCUCUAACCUCGUUCUAGUAAACAGUGAGGAAGGAGGAUAUAAGGGCUAUCUAUACCUGUGAUAUGACUUAGGCAGCUGUUGCAGGAGCUGAACAGAUUCCUAAAUAAGCCAUGUAGUAAGGACCACAACUGUAACUUGCCAAGGGCUGUAGGAAUGGGAGAACUUUGCCUGACUUUACAAGUGCUCUAGGAGACAUUUUGCCAAUCAUGAAUCAAAUUUCCCAUUGCCUUUUCUGUUUGCUUUUUCUUUGUUGUUUGGUUUUCCUUUCUAUGCCUUGUUGAGCUUUUUACAUUCCUAUUCUUAAUGGACUCCUGUGUACAAAAAGCAUAUUCCACUCCUUUCACCAGACCGUAGUAAACUCUGAGACAACUUUCCUUAUAAAUGCAAGAAAUAUUUCAUAUAUAUAUAUAUUUGUAUGUUAAAGCCAAUGUAGAGUAGCGAGAACAUAAAAAGUCUGACAGGAAAAGAGUGUAUGCUCAGCAGGAGCUUCACCUGGGCGCUUUGUUCACGUCAGUUUGCUGGAGACUUAGUGAUAUGAUUUCCCUAGAUGCAUGCAAAUAAAAUCUAUGAAGUCUUCGUUUGCUCUAACAAGAUCAAGUAUUUAGGGUUAGACUCUACUGCUGCUUUAAAAUUGAUAGUUUGAAUUAACUAUCAUUCUGCAGUGCCAAAUGAUGUGCAAGGAAGUUUUAAUUAUCAGCUUCACCCUUAGAAUAUUUGUAAUACACUAACAUACAUUUCUGUCCCUCCACUUUUUAUUACAAGUGAGAUUUAUUAAUUCCUUUUACAAGCUUGGGUGAUCCUUACAUCCCAAACCAUGCUGUAUUAACUUCUCUCCUCCUUAUGGUGGGGGCUUCAUCCCUUCCAACUUUUUUAACAAAUAAUUCACUUCUUUACAACUGACGGUCCUUUUCAGCCACAGAAACUGAAUGCUGAAAUAGGAAAUGUUUUCCAGUCUGCUGUUAAACAAAGAGAACUCUUCAUAAUGCAGACCAAAAAAGUCUGUCGAUAUGUGUAAUAGCUUUAUCCUCAAGAGGAGUGGAUUUGGGCGGCUUUGUUGCUGGCAGCUCUGGUGGGCACUGUCAAGAUUUAUAAAGAGGGACAUUUACAAGACGGAAGAUGCAGUGUUCUUCCAAGGUUGUUAGAACAAAAUAGAUCUGAAUCCCAUACAAAACAAAUGAACCGAAUAAUUUUAAUUAAUCAAAUCCUAUUUUUUUUUCUCUCAGUGUAAUCAUAUCUUUAAUCUUGAAUGCAUUGCUGUUAAAUAAGAAAUGUAGCAAAAUAUUCACCUCUUUUUUCAUUCUCUUGCGCAAACAAUGUAAUAUAGAUCUGUUAAAUCUGAAAGAAAAGGAUAUGCUCAUAUUUCAGUCACAGCAGUCAACCCACACGUUUGAAAAUGUGUAAUGAAGUAAGGGCAUAGUAAGAAAUCUUUUCCCCCUCUGUCCUAAAGAUAACUGCAUAUGUACUGGAACUUGAGUAAGCUCAAAAAACAUGAAUGCUGAUAAAUAAUCUAUAACUACCCUUGCUUCCAGGGAGAAAUGGCUUUCGCCUGCAAAUCUCUGGAUUUGGCAACUAUACCUAAUUCAUUUUAAACUCCCACUGACAUCAGCAAAAAUUACCCAAUUAGGGAUGCAGGAUCGGAUCUAAGAUGGUAGCAUAUUAAAAUGCUAUUAUAAAUUCAAAAGAUGCUACACAAAGUAUAAAGCAUUCAAGGCAGUUGAACAGUUCUCAGCGUGCAUAUUCAAAAUGCUAAACAAUAGCAGCUAUUGCAUGUGUGACCAUCAGGAAACACAGCUGUGCUUCUUUGUGUUACAAUUAAUUACUUCCGUUGUAUAUAAAAUUGAAAGUAUUGGUACUCUGGGGCGGAAGAAGGAUAUCCUGAUACACUGCUCCUAUUUCCUUAGGAAGAGCUAUGACUGAACCUUUCACCAUUAAUAAAGUUGCAAUGACUUUUCCUGCGAUGAAUAAAGGAAGGCAGGCCGAGUAAAAUCUUCUUACCUUAGACAACAGACAACAGCUUCUGUGACUGUUCAGGAAACCAGUGAAGACUCCAUCAGCCAACAGCAACUGGCAGAAUUUAAGAUUCACAAUUAGGGGAAAAAGCAACGCCAAAGCCCAUAGUCUGGAAAUCACCAUUUUCUUCAGAGCAAAUCAUAGUCUCUCUCCUAUUAAGAACCUCUUAACGCAACACUUGUCAAGCUGUAUUGCACCGUGUGUUUCUCUAAUGAACUUUGCUCUGUUCACUUUUUGCACCCUAUUAACUGGCAGAGUGUUAUACCUCUAGCGCUUCCCCUUCGUACCGCUCAGCUCCCCAGGGAUCACGGUACAACUGUCUAGUGCAAAGUUUAAAGGUCAGCACAGGCAAUCUGGAAAAAGAGCAGUUGAAAACUAACAGCAAUCUGUGGACGUUCUGUUCAUUCUUCUGAAUUGUGUUUUGCCUUACGCAUGCUGUAAACAAAUCAGGGCUGUAAAAUAAAAUCAAAGUUCACAUGUUUGCAGUUCUUGAUACUGUACUUUGUAAGCCAUCUAAAGCCAAGUUUGUCCAUUUAUUAUCUAAAUCCUUAAUUAUGUUUAUUAUCUAACUUCUUAAUUAUGUUUAAUAUAAUUAGUUGUAUCUUUAAAAAUACUGCAUGCCUGAGGGGUGUGGAUUAGGAAUGCACAAAAUGGCUGUUUUAAUAAGUCACGCUGCUAUACGAAGAUACUCUUUCAUUUGGAAGUACUUUUUUGGCACUAGAGUUCAAUGAGAGCAUUUAAAACACUUUGUAUAUUAAAGUCACUUCUGCUAAGAAACGGAGCAACACCCACCAGAACCCAC
ensembl:lncRNA